GAGACACACACCAUUCAGUUUGAUGAUCAGGGUCGUCCUCUCUAUUCAUUUGGUUAUACUAAAUACCUCAGUGAGAAUAGGAACCUGGAUAUCUGUGUGGCUGACCGGUCAGCUAGAGCAGUAGUGAUGGUCAAUCAGUCAGGAAAACUCCGAUUUAGAUACACUGGUCAUCCCUCUAAUACCGAGCAAUCAUUUGAUCCACACGGCAUCACUAAGGACAGCCAGAGUCACAUCCUGACAGCAGACCUCAACUGCAGGUUGCAUCACUCUAUUUAUGUGGAGGUUCACGUCGAAUCAUGGCCGAAAGAAAAUAAUUCCUGGAACUUUGCAUGUUUUAUGGGACUUUCCUUAUGAGAGGUGGGUGAUUUGGCUUUUGACCAGCUGAUUUUGCACGUGCUUGACUUCGAUGUAAACAAACUCUCACGCCUUGCUGGAUGGGUAUGUAUUUUUUGGUAUGAAAAUGCUCAUUAAGAACUGUACUACAUGAUGUGAAAGUACAACUUCUGAGAAGUUUACUUUAAGGCAGCAGGGUCAGGUCAAAGGUGAGUAAUUUUGGUAAGAACAUAUAGGCAAAAUUAAUAGAGUGGUGCAACCAAUAACCGUAUCCACAUCCUAGAUCUGGACGGACAUUCAGAAUUUAGAACGCCCAUGGGGUUUAUGUGUGAACAUUAGCGACAACCUCUUUGUGGCUGAAUUAGGAACUGCUAAAGUGAAGAAAGUCCAAUAUCUACAAACACAGUGUUAAUUACACAUCUCAACAUAGUGUUAAUUACACAUCUCAACAUAGUGUUAAUUACACAUCUCAACAUAGUGUUAAUUACACAUCUCAACACUCUGUUAAUUAAAUCUACCAACAUAGUGUUUAUUACAGCUCUGUGUGGAUUAGUGUUAAUAAGUGAUGUACAUCUUGAAAAUCUGUCAAUUACAUCUCUAAACACAGUGUUAAUUACAGCAGUGUGUUAAUUACAGCUGUGUGUUAAAUACAGCAGUGUGUUAAUUACAGCAGCGUGUUAAUUAUAACAGUGUGUUAAUUAUAGCUGUGUGAUAAUUACAGCUGUGUGUUAAUUAUAGCUGUGUAAUAAUUACAGCAGUAUGUUAAUUACAGCUGUGUGUUAAUUACAGCAGUGUGUUAAUUAUAGCAGUGUGUUAAUUACAGCUAUGUGUUAAUUACAGCAGUGUUUGUGAUGUGUAACUAAACUGUGUAUUGACACAGUAGAUUUGUGGUUGUUUGUUUGUGUCUGAUUGAACAUUAUUUUGUUUGUUAAUUAUAUCUUUUAUUGUUUUAUCAUGUUUUAUUGUAUAUAUAAUAGAUAAACAUUAUUCUGUGUGUUAAUUAUGUCUUUUAUUGAUUUAUCAUGUUUUAUUGUAUUUAUGAUAGAUAAACUUAUUCUGUUUGUUAAUUAUAUUUUUUUUAUUGUUUUAUCAUGUUUUAUUGUAUAUAUAAUAGAUAAACAUUAUUCUGUGUGUUAAUUAUAUCUUUUAUUGUUUUAUCAUGUUUUAUUGUAUAUAUAAUAGAUAAACAUUCUUCGGUGUGUUAAUUAUAUCUUUUAUCGUUUUAUCAUAUUUUAUUGUAUAUAUAAUAGAUAAACAUUAUUCUGUGUGUUAA